GAUGAACGCUGGCGGCGUGCUUAACACAUGCAAGUCGAACGGAAAGGCUCCUGCUUGCAGGGGUACUCGAGUGGCGAACGGGUGAGUAACACGUGGGUGAUCUGCCCUGCACUUCGGGAUAAGCCUGGGAAACUGGGUCUAAUACCGGAUAGGACGAUGGUUUGGAUGCCAUUGUGGAAAGUUUUUUCGGUGUGGGAUGAGCUCGCGGCCUAUCAGCUUGUUGGUGGGGUAAUGGCCUACCAAGGCGUCGACGGGUAGCCGGCCUGAGAGGGUGUACGGCUACAUUGGGACUGAGAUACGGCCCAGACUCCUACGGGAGGCAGCAGUGGGGAAUAUUGCACAAUGGGCGCAAGCCUGAUGCAGCGACGCCGCGUGGGGGAUGACGGCCUUCGGGUUGUAAACUCCUUUCGCUAGGGACGAAGCGCAAGUGACGGUACCUGGAGAAGAAGCACCGGCUAACUACGUG
rnacentral:rRNA from 1 species